rnacentral:lncRNA from 1 species
UAUUAAUAUGCUAUCUUUCUCUAAACAAAAAUAUACUUAUCAUAAAAGAAUCAAACUGUUUGCUAUUACUACAGUUGAUAUUACAAUGAUCAAUAUAUGUUAUUAUGGUGUUGCUAUCUUUCUUAUUUUUUUAUUUUAGUUACAUAUUUUUUAUUUAACUUUAAUUUCUACGCGAAUUGAGCAUGCUCAAAUUCAAAAAAUAGUACAGAAUCAUCUCUUUAUUGCAGGGCACGCUUUAUGAUUAUGAUAUAUUUACUUUAAAAAAAAAUGUAUUCUUAAUAUGUGUUAAGAAUGGGAAUGUAUUCUUAACUUACUUUUCAUUCCAACACAAGUGGAUCUAUCAUUGAAUGUCGUUUUAUCUAUGAAGAGUGUUACUGUUUUUAAUCACCGAAAUUUUGCUGUAACUCGAACAAGACUCUGUUGCACCGGCAUCUUAAUGAACUCAGAAGGAGGUCAGAACAUAACAAUACAGAAACAAUUCACAACGUGUAAGUCCAUCCUAACUCACUGCCUAUCCUUAAGAUUCCUUCUGAUUCGGAAUAGCAACUUUUGAUUACCAAAUAAAUAAAAAUAAAGUCUAUUAACGAAAUCAUACAAUUAACAACUAUUUACAACAAUCUGUUUGUAUUUGUUAGCAUAUGGUAAUAUAAUUAAUUAAAAAAAGAAA